rnacentral:rRNA from 1 species
CCUACGGGGGGCUGCAGUAGGGAAUCUUCCGCAAUGGACGAAAGUCUGACGGAGCAACGCCGCGUGAGUGAUGAAGGCCUUCGGGUUGUAAAGCACUUUCAGCGGGGAGGAAGGCGUUAAGGUUAAUAACCUUGGCGAUUGACGUUACCCGCAGAAGAAGCACCGGCUAACUCCGUGCCAGCAGCCGCGGUAAUACGGAGGGUGCAAGCGUUAAUCGGAAUUACUGGGCGUAAAGCGCACGCAGGCGGUCUGUCAAGUCGGAUGUGAAAUCCCCGGGCUCAACCUGGGAACUGCAUUCGAAACUGGCAGGCUAGAGUCGUGUAGAGGGUGGUAGAAUUCCAGGUGUAGCGGUGAAAUGCGUAGAGAUCUGGAGGAAUACCGGUGGCGAAGGCGGCCCCCUGGACAAAGACUGACGCUCAGGUGCGAAAGCGUGGGGAGCAAACAGGAUUAGAUACCCGAGUAGUC